CGCCGGCCUCUUUGUCCCGUGGGUUUGGCGGGCCGAUCCGAUGCUAUUUUGUAGGGAGCUCCGGGCGGGGCCUUGCCCACGGCUGCCGGAACCCCGACCCGGGUAGGUCGGCCACGAGAGUUUGUCUCCAGCGUUCCAGAGUUGCAGCUGCCUCGGUUCUAGGCGCAGGAUGAAACUACAGGUGCAAACGGUUGAAGCUGGACUAAUCUCCUGGUAUUUUAACAAUUUCACCUAUUAGCACUCCACAGUUACAAUAAGAAAGUGCCUCUAAUGAGGGGAAAUGUUUUUAGAUGUAGUAACUAACCAGGUGUCCACAAUGCCACAGGAGUUAGAACAGUGGGACAGAGCUAGUGGUGACAGGGCAAUGUGUCAAGUGCUUCAUUGAACCCCUUCGUUUAAUUCUCACAGCCCUGAGAUUGGUGCUGUUCUCCCAUCUUACAGAGGAAGAAAUGGGUUAGGUUGGAACUCAACUGAACAAGGAGUCGGUGUCUAAUAGAAUCCCUGAGAUUUGGUGUCAGUGUAAGAGUUUAAAAAAAAUUCUAUAGAUUGGUAUACUUUGGGUGGAAAGAGGGACACAGUAAAGCUGUUAAGAAUAUAAAUCUUUUGUAGUUAUCACCUUGAGCCUGUUUUACCAGGUUCCCUUUGGCACAAAAGGAGCAUCUUCAUUCAGUUUGUUAGGGUUUUCAAAGGUGUGUUAGCAUAGUGAGGUGUAAAAAGGGGAUUAAAAGAACAUAGUAUUGGGGAUAGUGGGAAAGCUUUCAUGUGGGAAGAACUAUGACAAUCUGGGAAGGAAAAUGCAUGUACCCAGUUCUACAUGUCUAGGAAUUGGCACUUAAAAUCAUUUUCUAGAAACUUUAAAUAAAGCUAUUUAAUGUUUAUCUUAAAGUCCUUACUGGUUAUUUCUGUAACUGUUUUGGCCUAUCAGUUUCAUGUUCUGCAUUAUACUCCAAAGGCCAGUCUUAGCUGGCUAUAUUUGUUGGGGGAUGGUACUCAUAAUUGCAGGUAGAGGUGACCAGGGAUAUGACUAGAGGAUGUGUAUCACAUCUUAAGUGUU